UCGUCACUAGCUGUUUGUCGGAGGGGAGAGAAACGAUUGUGAAAUUUCGAUUAAUUAAAUUUACAUGAAUAAUUUAAUAAAAUUGUAAUAAAUAGGACUUUUUAUGAUGUUAUGGAAAUGAAAAAACCAAAAAAAUAGAUAUGCGACACCAUUUAUACCACAGGCGCGUGGUACCGAAUCGAUUUUUCGUUUAACUGGAAUCAGACUAUUCAGAGUUCAGACUCGUGUAUAGAAUCCGUCACGAAGUUGGAUGAACUUGAAGUCUGCUCCACUCUCACUAUUACAUCGGAACAGGACGGGCUUUUGAUAUCGUUCAUCGCGGUCAUUGCACUGGUACACUGGGCAGGCAUAUGAUUGUAUGUCCACUGCCGUCACCACAUUCACACUCGGGACGUUUGUAUUAGUCGUAUUGCAUUCUACCGUCAGUACUUCAUCCACAGCACUGCAGGACAGUGUCAGAGAAAUGUCGUAGCGUUGGCCGUUUUUAUACAGAGUAUCACGUGAUAGUAUAAACUUACCGACGGCCGAGUGAUUGUUUUGGUACGGUAUGUUGUCCACCGAAGGCGGUCGUACUGGUAUUGGCCGACGGAGUUGGCUGUCUUUCCGUACGUUUACCACCGGCGGCAAUGGUGCAAGGGGCUUGCGUUCGGUUUCUGGCGUCGUGGCCGCGCUCGAACUUGUGCUAAUGACCGUUGACGGGACCGGAGUCUGCAAGUCUGAUCGUGGUGAACCCUGUGGAAAUGGAAACAUAUUUUUAUCAUAGUUAAUUAAGUAAUAGAGAUACGUUAAUAAAAUAUGACUAAUAUUAUGUGAUCAUUUAGCUGAUUCGUUUGUUCAAAUUUUUCAUAAUAUACAUCGAAUUUGUGCUCAAAAAUAUUGUAAUAGGUAUAGGUGUGGAAUUUGAAAUUAAGUACGCACCUUUUGGUUGUCGUCGUAGCUCAGAAGCUGUAGGCUUGGAGGAAGUUGCGCGUGGAACGUGAUUUUGUUGACCCACUCUUCCAUUUCCUUGGACGUGUCGGCCAAGAAGAGGAACUCUGAACCGUCCGUGCAGCAUAGCCUAAAACAGUAACAAAACAUAAAGUAAUCGCCUGAUAUUUUCGUCAUUACGUGGUUCUUUAGGUAUGUAUUGCAAAUAUGCAUACAUAAAUAGGUAUUAUGUAUUUAUAAACGAUUACCUAACUACAGAAACCUAAACUAUAUACAAGCAUUGGUUUACGCCAUAAUAAAAGUAGAAACAAUGAAUACAUAGAGAUUAAUUUUAAACGGUUAUUAAAUGAGAAUAUUUUAUACAUAUCAGUAUAUUACUAUAAAGUAUAAUAUAAUAGUAGGUGUACUAUCUGUAUUCAAUUAUAUUACGUAAUGAUUAAACUAAUUUAAACUUAUUCAGUUAGUGGUUAUUUUCUAUUACUUGUUUAAAAAAUAUUUUUGUACGACUGCAUGAUAUUGACCUGUUUAUAUUUUAUUUCAUUUAUUGAUAUUUGUAUAACAAUAUAAAUAUAUACAUAAUAUAUAUAUUGUUAUUAAAUUUACGGCAUUUACAAUUAUUUAUCAUGGUAUUUACCUGAAUACAUGUUUUCGUUUCGUAUAGUCAAACGCCUUUUCGCAUUUCGCUUUGAACACAAUGAUAGGCGAUGUCGCUGCUUUACUGGACACGAAAUCCUCCUGAUCCUUGAAGAAGCACAAUAGCUGACCGCAUAACACUAGACAACGAAACAAUAAUUAUUAUUAUUAGUUUUAUUCUGAAUUGUUUAGUAUAGAGGUGGUCAACCCGCAUAUUAGCGUCAGAUAAAAUAACACAUUUACUGUAUUAUUGUAAAAUAAAUACGUAAGUGCUAAUUUUUUUAUGGAAAAUUCUUAAUUUUUUCUAUUUGGCAUAAUAUAGAAAAAGGUUAGUUAUUCCGGGUCUACAAUAAUAUUUUUUCUCUGUAUGUUUUUUAGAUUCUUAUUAUUGUAGUAUAUACCAUGGUAAUAAUGGCGGCUUACAGAAAUGUGUUAUAUUUUUACUAUUCUAGGAUUAAAUAUUUUGGUUAUAGUAACAUGGAAGACGUAUACAUGUCAAAUUGUUGUACGAACAUGUUGAAUGAGACUUCUUCCGGUCUGAUAGAACUCGCUCAAAACUUCAGAUCGGCUGU